rnacentral:rRNA from 1 species
AUUGAACGCUGGCGGCAGGCCUAACACAUGCAAGUCGAGCGGCAGCGGGAAAGUAGCUUGCUACUUUUGCCGGCGAGCGGCGGACGGGUGAGUAAUGCCUGGGAAAUUGCCCAGUCGAGGGGGAUAACAGUUGGAAACGACUGCUAAUACCGCAUACGCCCUACGGGGGAAAGCAGGGGACCUUCGGGCCUUGCGCGAUUGGAUAUGCCCAGGUGGGAUUAGCUAGUUGGUGAGGUAAUGGCUCACCAAGGCGACGAUCCCUAGCUGGUCUGAGGGGAUGAUCAGCCACACUGGAACUGAGACACGGUCCAGACUCCUACGGGAGGCAGCAGUGGGGAAUAUUGCACAAUGGGGGAAACCCUGAUGCAGCCAUGCCGCGUGUGUGAAGAAGGCCUUCGGGUUGUAAAGCACUCUCAGCGAGGAGGAAAGGUUGAUGCCUAAUACGUAUCAACUGUGACGUUACUCGCAGAAGAAGCACCGGCUAACUCCGUGCCAGCCGCCGCAGUAAAAC